ACGCAAUUCUCCUUAACGAACGCAGCUCCCUGCAACGCAGCUCAUCGUCGUUUCGUGCUCUCCAUCGUCAGCUAGGGUUCAAGUGUGUUACCAUUGUGGUCGCCGGUUCAUCAUGAGUUGUGCUGGUCGUUGCGUAUUCAGUUGUGUUCGCAAUUGAGUUAUCAAUUUUGAUCGCCGUUGAGGUCUUAGUUUCCGUGGUCGUCGUCAGUCGUCAUCGUAGUUGGGAGAGGAAGGGUCAGUCGUGUUUGGCUUGGCGAAUGCUACCAUCUUUUUCAAAUAUGUGUUUAUGAUGCUUUUGCUGAUUAUCAAUUGCUAGAGCUUUUUGAGAACACCUUUGCAGUCAUUGUGUCUGCAAAUCAAAACUCUACAACUUGGAACCAUCUCUGAGUUUUU
rnacentral:sRNA from 1 species